AACGAACGCUGGCGGCAUGCCUAACACAUGCAAGUCGAACGAGACCUUCGGGUCUAGUGGCGCACGGGUGCGUAACGCGUGGUAACCUGCCCUUAGGUUCGGAAUAACUCCCCUAAAGGGGUGCUAAUACCAGAUAAUGUCGUCGGACCAAAGAUUUAUCGCCUUUGGAUGGGCCCGCGUUGGAUUAGCUAGUUGGUAGUGUAAAAGCCUACCAAGGCGACGAUCCAUAGCUGGUCUGAGAGGAUGAUCAGCCACACUGGGACUGAGACACGGCCCAGACUCCUACGGGAGGCAGCAGUGGGGAAUAUUGGACAAUGCGCGAGAGCCUGAUCCAGCAAUGCCGCGUGAGUGAUGAAGGCCUUAGGGUUGUAAAGCUCUUUUCCCCGGGAUGAUAAUGACAGUACCGUGAGAAUAAGCUCCGGCUAACUCCGUG
rnacentral:rRNA from 1 species